rnacentral:rRNA from 1 species
GAUGAACGCUGGCGGCGUGCCUAAUACAUGCAAGUCGAGCGGACGGACGAGACGCUUGCUUCUCUGAUGUUAGCGGCGGACGGGUGUGUAACACGUGUAUAACCUCCCUAUAAGACUGGUAUAACUUCGGGACACCGGAGCUAAUACCGUAUAAUAUUUUGAACCGCAUUGUUCAUAAGUGAAUGACGGUGUUUCUGUCACUUCUAGAUGGAUCCGCGCUGCAUUAGCUAGUUGGUAAGGUAACGGCUUAUCAAGGCAACGAUGCCUAGCCGACCUGAGAGGGUGAUCGGCGACACUGGAGCUGAGACACGGACAAGAGUCCUACGGGAGGCAGCAGUAGGGAAUCUGCCGCAAUGGGCGAAAGCCUGACGGAGCAACGCCGCGUGAGUGAUGAAGGUGUUCGGAUCGUAAAACUCUGUUAUUAGGGAAGAACAGAUGUGGAAGUAACUGUGCACAGCGUGACGGUACCUAAUCAGAAAGCCACGGCUAACUACGUG